UGUACUUUAUCCCCAUACACUCCUCAUUAACCAGAAAGCGUAAAAAUACAAACUCUCACUUUCGCUUCCAGACUUUCCACUCUUCCACUUCCAGCUUCCAUUCCAUGUAGCUGAAAAAACGCUUAAAGGUCCUCCCUUUUUGGUUCUUACCUUCUCAAGCCACCAUCUUUCUCUGGAAUUCGAUUCCCUUUGGGUUCAAUAUUCUUUCAGAAUUUCAGAACUUUUAUCAUCAUCAGUCCAUAAAGAUCACAAAAUGCUUAGAACCCCACAUUGGUACGAUUCACAUGUUGCUAAGUUCCCUCUCUUUGCAUCACCCUUCUCAUCGCACAAUGGCUCUUCAUGUACUGUAGCUUCUCCUGUCCCUGACAUGGGAUUGAAGUUGAGUAAACAAGUAUCGGGUAGCAAUCAGCAAGGAAUUGCCAGAAAGACCCGGGAUUGUGUCAAUCAUAGAACAGCUAAUGCUUACGGUCAGCGUGCUCAAGAACGUGUACUUGAGGACGAGGCCCCCCAAAUGUCAGAGACUAGUCCAUCAUGGAAAACUUUUCCAGGUCAAGCUUUUCCGCUGGGUGUAUCAGAAGUUGACAGUGGGACUAAUUUUGCUAUAUUUUCACAGCAUGCAACUGCUGUCACACUUUGCUUAUCACUUCCAGAGAGUUUUCCCCAGACUCAUGCUCUCAUGAAUAUAAUUUUUGUCAAGGAAAGGCUUGGAAGGGUGGAUGGUGGAAUGAUGGAGUUCUCUUUGGAUCGUAAUGUAAACAAGACAGGUGAUAUUUGGCACAUAUGUAUCAAGGAUUUGCCCCGGAGCAAUGUUCUCUAUGGUUAUUGUAUGGAUGGGCCACGAGGUUGGCAUGAGGGGCAUCGAUUUGACAGCAGAGUUGUGCUUAUAGAUCCGUACGCGAAGCUAGUUGAUGGCCGCCGGUUUUUUGGAGAUAGCAGCAAAAAGUUUUCUAAGUUUCUUGGAACUUAUGAUUUCGAUAGCUUGCCUUUUGCUUGGGGAGACAACUACAAGCUCCCAAAUAUACCUGAGAAGGAUCUUGUUAUAUAUGAAAUGAACGUUCGUGCAUUUACGGCCUCUGAAUCCAGUGGUCUGGAUCCAGAUAUUCGUGGUAGCUACCUUGGUGUGAUUGAGAAGAUUCCACACCUUCAAGAGCUUGGCAUAAAUGCAGUGGAGUUGCUGCCUGUCUUUGAAUUUGAUGAGUUUGAGUUUCAGAGGCGACCAAAUCCUAGAGAUCACAUGAUAAAUACAUGGGGCUACUCAACAAUAAAUUUCUUUGCUCCUAUGAGCCGCUAUGCAAGUGAUGGUGGAGGACCCCUUAAAGCUUCCCAGGAAUUUAAACAAAUGGUUAAAGCCUUGCAUGGUGCUGGGAUAGAGGUCAUUUUGGAUGUUGUCUAUAAUCAUACUAAUGAAGCUGAUGACGCCAACCCUUAUACCACUUCAUUUCGUGGCAUAGAUAAUAAGGUUUAUUACAUGCUGGACCUAAACAACAAUGGCCAAUUACUGAACUUCUCUGGUUGUGGGAACACAUUAAACUGUAACCAUCCUGUUGUCAUGGAGCUCAUAAUGGAUAGCUUAAGACACUGGGUCACUGAAUAUCAUGUGGAUGGAUUUAGAUUUGACCUUGCCAGUGUUCUUUGUCGAGGAGCGGAUGGAAGUCCGCUUAGUGCACCACCAGUUAUUAGGGCUAUUGCAAAAGAUUCCAUCCUAUCAAGAUGUAAAAUUAUUUCCGAACCUUGGGACUGUGGGGGCCUUUAUCUCGUUGGAAGAUUUCCAAAUUGGGACAGGUGGGCAGAAUGGAAUGGGAAAUACCGUGAUGACUUAAGGAGAUUUAUAAAGGGCGACUCUGGUAUGAAAGGAAGUUUUGCAACUCGUGUUUCUGGAUCUGCUGAUCUUUUCAAAGUGAAUAAGCGCAAGCCUUAUCACAGUGUUAAUUUUGUUAUCGCGCAUGAUGGGUUCACACUAUAUGAUCUUGUUUCAUACAAUUUCAAGCACAACGAUGCUAAUGGAGAAGGAGGAAAUGAUGGAAGUAAUGAUAAUUUGAGCUGGAAUUGUGGUUACGAAGCAAACAAAAGAUGGUGCAAGUGCAAUAUCAAGUGUUGUGCAUUUAUUGUUCAAGUGGAGACAAACUUACUCCUGCAGAUGGGACAUGGACAGUUCUUUAGCACAAUUUGCCAUGUAGGAUAUGAAUGGGAGAAACUGAUGAUUCUACUGUUAAAGCUAUACGCUCCCGACAAAUGAAAAAUUUUCAUUUGGCAUUAAUGAUAUCUCAGGGGACACCAAUGAUGCUGAUGGGGGAUGAAUAUGGGCAUAGUCGAAAUGGAAAUAACAACAGCUAUGGACAUGAUACCGCUAUUAACCAUUUCCAGUGGGGACUGUUGGAGGCACGCAACAGCAAUCACUUCAGGUUUUUCAAAGAGGUGAUAAAAUUUCGACGAACACGUCGUGUAUUUGGUCGUGAUACAUUUCUUGAGAAAAAUGACGUGACAUGGCAUGAAGACAACUGGCACAAUUUUGAAAGCAAAUUCCUUGCAUUUACGUUUCAUGACAAUAAUGGAGGAGACGUCUAUAUGGCAUUCAAUGCUCAUGACUAUUUUAUUAAAGUUCCAAUACCCGCAGCACCAGUAAAGAGGAGAUGGUUUCGUGUGGUGGACACUAAUCUUGAGUCUCCCAAUGACUUCGUGCUUGAUGGCGUCCCAGGCAUCAAAAGCACAUAUAACAUGGCCCCCUACUCCUCAAUUCUUCUUGAAGCAAAAUGAUGACAUAACUUCAGAAGCUGCUUUUUUCAGAUGGCUUGGAUUAUCUGGAAGAUGACUGAAAGAUCCGGCUGGUUUCAAACUAAAACAAGAUUUAUAUUUAUAUUUUUGAAGUCCUUGAGCUGUACAAAUGCAUGUUCAUGUCAAUGGGACUAGUAAAGUAGUUUUGAAUUUAGAGUAGAUCACCAUGAUUCCCCACCAAUAAGAACAGCCAGCCUCAACCAUGUAUAUGCAGGGAGCUAUGAAAGCAUGUAAUUACUUCAAUAAUUGCAGAGAGCCCCUAUGCUUAACAAACAUGCUAAAGGGAUCAUAAUAUUUCUUAAGUUGUAGUCUGAUAUGACAGAUUACAUGAUGAUAGUGACUUACUAGAAAUAAAUGAGGUUCAUAGUGAAACUAAAUAUGAACAAAAUGAAGUACUUGUAACUCAUUAUCCGAAACUUUUUCGAAUUUAUUUUGGUGUAUAUGUAGAUUACUCUAAUUAUCAAAGUAUUGGAAUAAAAGCAUCUUUUUAUUA